rnacentral:rRNA from 1 species
AAUAUUGCACAAUGGGCGAAAGCCUGAUGCAGCGACGCCGCGUGAGGGAUGACGGCCUUCGGGUUGUAAACCUCUUUCAGCAGGGAAGAAGCGAAAGUGACGGUACCUGCAGAAGAAGCCUCGGCUAACUCCGUGCCAGCAGCCGCGGUCAUACGGAGGAGGCAAGCGUUAUCCGGAAUUACUGGGCGUAAAGAGUUGCGUAGGUGGCAUUGUAAGUCGGUAGUGAAAGCGUCCCGCUCAACGGGAUAUCCAUUAUCGAAACUGCAGAGCUAGAGGACGAGAGAGGUCACUGGAAUUCCCUGUGUAGGAGUGAAAUCCGUAGAUAUAGGGAGGAACACCGAUGGCGUAGGCAGGUGACUGGCUCGUUCCUGACACUAAGGCGCGAAAGCGUGGGGAGCAAAC